AUUGAACGCUGGCGGAAUGCUUUACACAUGCAAGUCGAACGGCAGCACGGACUUCGGUCUGGUGGCGAGUGGCGAACGGGUGAGUAAUGUAUCGGAACGUGCCCAGUCGUGGGGGAUAACGUAGUGAAAAUUACGCUAAUACCGCAUACGAUCUAUGGAUGAAAGCGGGGGAUCGCAAGACCUCGCGCGAUUGGAGCGGCCGAUAUAAGAUUAGGUAGUUAGUGGGGUAAAGGCCCACCAAGCCAACGAUCUGUAGCUGGUCUGAGAGGACGACCAGCCACACUGGAACUGAGACACGGUCCAGACUCCUACGGGAGGCAGCAGUGGGGAAUUUUGGACAAUGGGCGAAAGCCUGAUCCAGCCAUUCCGCGUGCAGGAUGAAGGCCCUCGGGUUGUAAACUGCUUUUGUACAGAACGAAAAGGUUUCUACUAAUACUAGGAGCUCAUGACGGUACUGUAAGAAUAAGCACCGGCUAACUACGUGCCAGCCGCCGCAGUAA
rnacentral:rRNA from 1 species